CCUACGGGUGACAGCAGUAGGGAAUCUUUCACAAUGGGGGAAACCCUGAUGCAGCAACGCCGCGUGCAUGAUGGAGGCUUUCGGGUUGUAAAGCUCUAUUAGCAGUGAGAAAUAUGAUGGUAACUUAUCAAUACGGCUCGGCUAACUACGUGCCAGCCGCCGCGGUGAUACGUAGGAGGCGAGCAUUAUCCGGAGUUACUGGGUGUAAAGAGGGGCGUAAGUGGCAUAAUAAGUAGCUAGUAAAAACUGGUGGCUCAACCAUUGAGACUAUUAGCUAAACUGUUAAGCUCGAGCACGGGAGGGGUAAGUGGAAUUCCUAGUGUAGGAGUGAAAUCCGUAGAUAUUAGGAGGAACACCAGUAGCGAAGGCAGCUUGCUGGGACGGGUCUGACGUUGAGGCCCGAAAGCGUAGGGAGCAAACGGGAUUAGAUACCCGAGUAGUC
rnacentral:rRNA from 1 species